GACGAACCGUGCGAACGUUGUUCGGAUUCACUGGGCUUAAAGGGCGCGUAGGCGGACGGUCAAGUCAGGGGUGAAAUCUUUCAGCUCAACUGGAAAAGUGCCUCUGAUACUGAUCGUCUCGAGGGAGGUAGGGGCAUGUGGAACUUCCGGUGGAGCGGUGAAAUGCGUAGAUAUCGGAAGGAACGCCGGUGGCGAAGGCGGCUUUCUGGACGGUAACUGACGCUGAGACGCGAAAGCGUGGGGAGCAAACAGG
rnacentral:rRNA from 1 species